CACAUGCCUAUAGUCCCAGGUACUCGGGACGCAGAGUUGGGAGGAUUGCUUGAUCCAGGAGUUGGAGGUUGUAAUAAGCUAUGAUUGAGCUACUGUACUCCAUCCUGGGCAACAGAGUGAGAUGCCAUCUCUGUCUCAAAAAAAAAAAAAAAAAAAAAAAAAAAAAAAAAAGUAUUGCAAUAUUCUAGGCAAGGCCUGGUGGUGGCUUGGACCAGGGUGGUGGCAAUGGGGCUGGAGAGAUGUUUGGAUUCUGGCAGAUUGACAGUAUUUGCUCAUGGGUUGGAUAUGGAUAUCAGAGAUGAGAGGAGUUAAGGAUGAUUUUUAGGAUUUUGGUAUGAUUAACUAGAAGGACACAGUUUUCAUUUACCGAUUGGGGAAGCUUAUAGGAGGAACAGAAUUGAGGGAGAAUUAUCUUGAUUUGGGGCAUUCUAAAUUCUAUAACCAAACAGAGAAUUUGUAUAAUCUUCUGGACAGAAGAGUCUGAAGUUCAGGGGAGAGGUCUCGGCUGUAGUUGUCACCAUAUAGUAUUUAAAGCCACAAGACUGGAUGAGAUCACAGAUAAUGAGUGUAGACAAAGAAGGUUUACCCAGGGAUGGAUCAUCAGUGAGUAUCUUCUGAGUACAGGAUUUACCCAGCAUUAAGUCAUCAUUUUUAAUGUCAAUAAUACAUAGUUUGGUUUGCUUUCCAAAGACCACAUGUACAACACACAUCAACUAAAAACCUAGAUUUUGUCUUUACUUAUCAAAAUGAACAUGUCUUUCCCCAUAUAGAAUGCUUUUAAAUAGAAAUUAUCAUCUAAUUGAUUGUUGCCAUAUAACAAGUCAAGAUACAGUACUAGUUCUUUUGCUAGGUAAGUUUCUACCUGUUUCUGACACACUCUCAUCUACCAAGAUAACCACAUCCUCAACAAGAGGCUUUUACUGUACCUGAUUUUAAAGUUAGGGGGAAGAGGUUGUUUUAAGCGUAGAAAAUGGUGUCAAGAUAAUAUAGAACUAAUUGUAGUAAAUGUGAGAGGAAAACUUAAUAGGAAUA
rnacentral:lncRNA from 1 species